rnacentral:rRNA from 1 species
CCUACGGGUGGCUGCAGUGGGGAAUAUUGCACAAUGGGCGCAAGCCUGAUGCAGCCAUGCCGCGUGUGUGAGGAAGGCCUUCGGGUUGUAAAGCACUUUCAGCGGGGAGGAAGGCGGUGAGGUUAAUAACCUCAUCGAUUGACGUUACCCGCAGAAGAAGCACCGGCUAACUCCGUGCCAGCAGCCGCGGUAAUACGGAGGGUGCAAGCGUUAAUCGGAAUUACUGGGCGUAAAGCGCACGCAGGCGGUCUGUCAAGUCGGAUGUGAAAUCCCCGGGCUCAACCUGGGAACUGCAUUCGAAACUGGCAGGCUAGAGUCUUGUAGAGGGGGGUAGAAUUCCAGGUGUAGUGGUGAAAUGCGUAGAGAUCUGGAGGAAUACCGGUGGCGAAGGCGGCCCCCUGGACAAAGACUGACGCUCAGGUGCGAAAGCGUGGGGAGCAAACAGGAUUAGAUACCCGAGUAGUC